CCUACGGGAGGCAGCAGUGAGGAAUAUUGGUCAAUGGGCGCUAGCCUGAACCAGCCAAGUAGCGUGAAGGAUGACUGCCCUAUGGGCUGUAAACUUCUUUUAUAUGGGAAUAAAGUGCAGUAUGUAUACUGCUUUCCAUGUACCUUAUGAAUCCGGAUCGGCUAACACCGUGCCAGCAGCCGCGGUAAUACGGAGGAUCCGAGCGUUAUCCGGAUUUAUUGGGUGUAAAGGGAGCGUAGGCGGGUUGGUAAGUCAGUUGUGAAAGUUUGCGGCUCAACCGUCAAAUUGCAGUUGAUACUGGCAGCCGUGAGUACAGGAGAGGUAGGCGGAAUUCGUGGUGUAGCGGUGAAAUGCUUAGAUAUCACGAAGAACUCCGAUGGCGAAGACAGCCUGCUGGACUGUAACUGACGCUGAGGCUCGAAAGUGUGGGUAGCAAACAGGAUUAGAUACCCGGGUAGUC
rnacentral:rRNA from 1 species